UACGUAGGGUGCAAGCGUUAAUCGGAAUUACUGGGCGUAAAGCGUGCGCAGGCGGUCUUGCAAGACAGAUGUGAAAUCCCCGGGCUUAACCUGGGAACUGCAUUUGUGACUGCAAGGCUGGAGUACGGCAGAGGGGGAUGGAAUUCCGCGUGUAGCAGUGAAAUGCGUAGAUAUGCGGAGGAACACCGAUGGCGAAGGCAAUCCCCUGGGCCUGUACUGACGCUCAUGCACGAAAGCGUGGGGAGCAAACAGG
rnacentral:rRNA from 1 species